UACAGAGGGGGCAAGCGUUAUUCGGAAUUAUUGGGCGUAAAGGGCGCGUAGGCGGCAUGGCAAGUGGAAGGUGAAAUCCCUCGGCUCAACUGAGGAACUGCCUUUGAAACUGUCUGGCUUGAGGCCGGGAGAGGGUAGCGGAAUUCCCAGUGUAGCGGUGAAAUGCGUAGAUACUGGGAGGAACACCGGUGGCGAAGGCGGCUACCUGGACCGGUUCUGACGCUGAUGCGCGAAAGCGUGGGUAGCAAACAGG
rnacentral:rRNA from 1 species